rnacentral:rRNA from 1 species
UACGUAGGGUGCAAGCGUUAAUCGGAAUUACUGGGCGUAAAGCGUGCGCAGGCGGUGAUGUAAGACAGAUGUGAAAUCCCCGGGCUCAACCUGGGAACUGCAUUUGUGACUGCAUCGCUGGAGUACGGCAGAGGGGGAUGGAAUUCCGCGUGUAGCAGUGAAAUGCGUAGACAUGCGGAGGAACACCGAUGGCGAAGGCAAUCCCCUGGGCCUGUACUGACGCUCAUGCACGAAAGCGUGGGGAGCAAACAGG